rnacentral:lncRNA from 1 species
UCCCGAGUUCUGCCAGCCUGGGUUUGGGCAGAUACAGAGCAAGAGGAGGCGGGGCGGCGACGCAACAUCCGAUGUAUCUGCGGAGGUGGCAAGAGAUGUGCUCAGAGAGGCGGCCUGCUAGGCUGCUGCGCAUCUUCCUCAGCCACAGCAGCAGAUCCACGGAGUGUCUGACGAUCCUCCUCAGUGACUGUCCUGUCUUCCCAGUCGAGGUAUCGCUGCCUAAGGUGGCGAGAAAAUGGGUGGUUCUUAUCUCAGGAGUGGUGAACUGAUGGGAUCAGGAGUCCUGUAAGAAGGAAGAAAUCACUUUUGCCUGCAGAGAGCUGAGGGGGGGAGGAGAGGGAAGCUUUAUUACACCUCCAGAGCAGGCAAAGGGAACAGGGCAAAGAAUCCAUUUCCUUAUAGAGCCACAGCCUCCCCUUAACUCUGUCCCCCAACUUUCUCCUGAAACAUAAUUAAAAGGGUCCUUAACACAGCAAAAAGCUGGCAGGCUAGUAAAGUUCACCUGGUCUCUAAUGCAUUGUCUGAAGGUAUCAGCCAGCACUCUCCCCUCAGCCAGUCGAGUUCUUCAAACGUGCCCCAACAAGGAGUACCACAGAGGCUGCAGGUAAACGCUCUGUGGCUGGGGCUGUUGAGAGACUCUGAUAGGGCACUGUCUUUCCGCAGAGCUUUAGAAAUCCUGGGUGUAAUCAAGAUGCAGAAAACAAGUAGAUAUUCUGAAAAGAGGACAAACCUUUUGCAGAUCGAACCCAUCAGACGAUGUGGUUAGGUUGACUAUACAAUUCUGUGUU